rnacentral:rRNA from 1 species
AGGACGAACGCUGGCGGCGUGCUUCAUACAUGCAAGUCGAACGAGAAGUCACCUUCGGGUGAUGGAAAGUGGCGGACGGGUGAGUAAUGUGUAGAGAAUCUGCCCUUUAGUGGGGGACAACAGUUGGAAACGACUGCUAAUACCCCAUAUGCGCGUAGCUGAGAUGCUAUUCGUGAAAACUCCGGUGCUAAAGGAUGAGUCUGCAUCUGAUUAGCUAGUUGGCGGUGUAAUGGACCACCAAGGCGACGAUCAGUAGCUGGUUUGAGAGGAUGAUCAGCCACAAUGGGACUGAGACACGGCCCAUACUCCUACGGGAGGCAGCAGUAGGGAAUUUUGCGCAAUGGGGGAAACCCUGACGCAAGCAACGCCGCGUGAUUGAAUAAGCCCUUCGGGGUGUAAAGAUCUGUCAGUAGGGACGAAACUUGACGGUACCUACAGAGGAAGCAUCGGCUAACUCCGUGCCAGCAGCUGC